CCGGCCGGGGGACGGACUGG
rnacentral:snRNA from 1 species